rnacentral:rRNA from 1 species
UAAGCAUAUCAAUAAGCGGAGGAAAAGAAACCAACAGGGAUUGCCUUAGUAACUGCGAGUGAAGCGGCAAAAGCUCAAAUUUGAAAUCUGGUACCAUUCGGUGCUCGAGUUGUAAUUUGGAGAGGCAACUUCGGAGAGGGCGUUGGCCUAAGUUCCUUGGAACAGGACGUCAUAGAGGGUGAGAAUCCCGUGCUUGGCUGACUGUCCCUCUUCAUGUGAAGUGUCUUCGACGAGUCGAGUUGUUUGGGAAUGCAGCUCAAAAUGGGUGGUAAACUCCAUCUAAGGCUAAAUAUUGGCGAGAGACCGAUAGCGCACAAGUAGAGUGAUCGAAAGAUGAAAAGCACUUUGAAAAGAGAGUUAAAAAGUACGUGAAAUUGUUGAAAGGGAAGCGCUUGAGACCAGACUCGGUGAUAGGUGAUCAGCGGUUGCUUUUGCUCCGUGCACUUGCCUUUUACCGGGCCAGCAUCAGUUACAGCGGUGGGAUAAAGACUCAGGGAAUGUGGCUCCCCUCGGGGAGUGUUAUAGCCCUGGGUGUAAUGCCACCUGUUGUGACUGAGGACCGCGCUUCGGCUAGGAUGCUGGCAUAAUGGUCUUCAGCGACCCGUCUUGAAACACGGACCAAGGAGUCUAACAUCUAUGCGAGUGUUCGGGUGUAAAACCCCUACGCGGAAUGAAAGUGAACGGAGGUGGGAACCUUUUAGGUGCACCAUCGACCGAUCCUGAUGUUUACGGAUGGAUUUGAGUAGGAGCAUAGCUGUUGGGACCCGAAAGAUGGUGAACUAUGCCUGAAUAGGGUGAAGCCAGAGGAAACUCUGGUGGAGGCUCGCAGCGGUUCUGACGU